rnacentral:rRNA from 1 species
UACAGAGGUCCCGAGCGUUGUUCGGAUUCACUGGGCGUAAAGGGCGCGCAGGCGGCCACGCACGUCCGUUGUGAAAUCGCCCGGCUCAACUGGGCGGGGUCAGCGGAUACGGCGCGGCUGGAGCAAGCUAGGGGGCAAUGGAACUCCCGGUGUAGUGGUGGAAUGCGUAGAUAUCGGGAAGAACACCAGUGGCGAAGGCGGUUGCCUGGAGCUUUGCUGACGCUGAGGCGCGAAAGCGUGGGGAGCGAUCCGG